rnacentral:lncRNA from 1 species
UGGCAUGAUAAGAUUGGUUGAAUUAAAUAUUACUUGACCCACAUGAUUUGUUUUUAUUAAUUUAUAUUUUCAUUCAACCAAUGAAUUAAUGUCACGUCAAUUUAUAUAAAAUAAAUUUAUAUAAAAAUUUAUGGUUGUAUCAUUACUCAUAAUAAUAACAACGAUGAUCGCAGUAACAACAGUAUUGAUGAUAAUGUAACAGUGGUAACAACAAUUAAAGUGAUAAUACAAAUAACAAAUUAUCAAUAAUACCAAAAACAAAAAUGGUGAUGAUAUGGCAAUCUCGGCGGGAUGGGACAGUUGGCAACUGUAGCAGCGUGGUAUAGUCGGCGACAGUGGCGGCUAGUGGCAAGUACCAGCAACGUUUGCGACGAGUGUGACAUUUCGAUGUGAGGCUGACGAGAUCGAACGCGUGCGACGAGUGGCGUUCGGCGGUGUGCUGCGCGAUUUGACGAGAUCAAUGCUGCUGUUGGUGGUUCGAAUCCCGGUGAAAGGGAAUUGGGGAUUUUUUUUUUCAUUUGCAUUCUUUUUUUGUAUUUUUAUUUAAAAAAAAAGUGGAAUUAGAAAAUCCUGGACCUGGAGAUAGGCUCUGUGCUGACACGUGUACCCAGAAGGAUCACCUUUGGUGCCACAGAUGUGGCCAGAUAGCAUCCGCUGCGUUGAUCUUCCCCACUGCAACAAAUCAACCUUUUAACAAUUUCCUCGGCUACGCCCACGGUUAGAAGAACAUAAAACAACUCUCGCUUUAUGUACGUCACCAUUUCUUCGAUACUUACACGUGGCUUCGAAACUCCGCGAGUGGGAGCUUGUUACUAU